rnacentral:rRNA from 1 species
CCUACGGGAGGCUGCAGUAGGGAAUCUUUCACAAUGGGCGAAAGCCUGAUGGAGCAACGCCGCGUGCAGGAUGAAGGCCUUCGGGUUGUAAACUGCUUUUAUAAGCGAGAAAUAUGAUGGUAACUUAUGAAUAAGGAUCGGCUACCUACGUGCCAGCAGCCGCGGUCAUACGUAGGAUCCGAGCAUUAUCCGGAGUGACUGGGUGUAAAGAGUUGCGUAGGUGGCCUAAUAAGUAGCUAGUGAAAUCUGGUGGCUCAACCAUUCAGACUAUUAGCGAAACUGUUAAGCUCGAGACCGUUAGGGGUAACUGGAAUUUCUAGUGUAGGAGUGAAAUCCGUAGAUAUUAGAAGGAACACCAAUAGCGUAGGCAGGUUGCUGGGACGGUUCUGACGCUGAGGCACGAAAGCGUAGGGAGCAAACGGGAUUAGAUACCCGUGUAGUC